CAAACACCCUCUAAUUCGCCCCAGCCCAAACCGGGCUUGACUCGCCCGUUUUCCCUUAAUAUAAAAGCCCCUUUAUAAUUUUUCCCCCAAACUCAUCAGAGGCGGCUAUUGUUCAUCUUCCUCUCUACUGAGCUCAAUCUCAACUCGCCUGAGUUCGAGCUUACUCACUCAUAACGGUUCUCUCUCCACGUCACCUCUAUUUCCAACGGAUUUGUUAGAGAUGAGUACGAUUAUUCUCUCAAAACCGCAGAUUCUUGUACAAAAGGAUGAUUUGCUGGACGAAUAGGGGCCGUGGAUAGAUGUAAAUCGAUCCACGCCUUCCAUUUAUCCCAAAAAUUGUUCAAAAAUCUGAGGAUUUUCAGAGUUUCUGGUAGAUGUUUUUUUGAGAUUUUUGGAAGGCUAUAUAAGUUAAAGUCUGUAGCUGGGAUUCUGAACUGUGGCGCUGUGGAUUUCUAUCCGAAUUUUUGGUUGCGAUUUGGAUUUGGCUGGCUGAUUUGCUGAGUUAUCUUCGCUGUCACUGAAUUUCUUCCCCUGUUCCAGCAUUUCGUCUUGUUAUUUUUCAAUUGUCUUACUCUCAUAGGAUGGUCAGGGGUGUGCCAGCACUCCUAAUUGCAGGGCAUGACCGCCAGCCUGCCAUGGAUUUCCCUGAUCCCCCCCCCCAUGCACUUACACUUACUCUUAGGCUCUUAUGUUCUGCCCCCCUCUUAUGAGCCUUGCUU